rnacentral:rRNA from 1 species
ACACGAACCGUACAAACGUUAUUCGGAAUCACUGGGCUUAAAGGGUGCGUAGGCGGCUUGGAAAGUUGGGUGUGAAAUCCCUCGGCUCAACCGAGGAAUUGCGCUCAAUACUGCCAGGCUAGAGGGAGACAGAGGUGAGCGGAACUUAGGGUGGAGCGGUGAAAUGCGUUGAUAUCCUAAGGAACACCAGUGGCGAAGGCGGCUCACUGGGUCUCUUCUGACGCUGAGGCACGAAAGCUGGGGGAGCGAACGGGAUUAGAAACCCGGGUAGUCC